AUGGGCUGUCAAUUGGGUAAACCAUCAAAAAUAGUGGCCAUAGAAGAAAUAACAAACUCUAGAAAUCAAAGUGAGAUCAGCAACACUGGGAAUGAUAUUACUAAAAAUGGUCAGGGUACUAAUAUAACUUUGAAUGGUAGCACAACUAUUAAUAAUGGUAAUAAACGUAGAGAAAGUGCUCGCAUAGCUUGGAGAGAGAAAUCUAAUGGU